AGUGAACGCUGGCGGUAGGCCUAACACAUGCAAGUCGAACGGCAGCACAGUAAGAGCUUGCUCUUACGGGUGGCGAGUGGCGGACGGGUGAGGAAUACAUCGGAAUCUACUUUUUCGUGGGGGAUAACGUAGGGAAACUUACGCUAAUACCGCAUACGACCUACGGGUGAAAGCAGGGGAUCUUCGGACCUUGCGCGAUUGAAUGAGCCGAUGUCGGAUUAGCUAGUUGGCGGGGUAAAGGCCCACCAAGGCGACGAUCCGUAGCUGGUCUGAGAGGAUGAUCAGCCACACUGGAACUGUGACACGGUCCAGACUCCUACGGGAGGCAGCAGUGGGGAAUAUUGGACAAUGGGCGCAAGCCUGAUCCAGCCAUACCGCGUGGGUGAAGAAGGCCUUCGGGUUGUAAAGCCCUUUUGUUAGGAAAGAAAAGCGGCAGGUUAAUACCCCGCUGUUCUGACGGUACCCAAAGAAUAAGCACCGGCUAACUUCGUG
rnacentral:rRNA from 1 species